rnacentral:rRNA from 1 species
GUGCAGCGGCGCGAAAACUCCGCAAUGCGCGUAAGCGUGACGGGGUCAUCCCGAGUGCCGUCCGCUGAGGAUGACUUUUCUCCGGUCUAACCAGCCGGAGGAAUAAGGGGAGGGCAAGUCUGGUGUCAGCCGCCGCGGUAAUACCAGCUCCCCGAGUGGUUGGGACGAUUAUUGGGUCUAAAGCGUCCGUAGCCGGCUGAGGAAGUUCUCCGUUAAAUCCAACGAUUCAAUCGUUGGGCUGCGGGGAAUACUCCUCAGCUUGGGGGCGGGGGAUGUCGGCGGUAUUUCCGGGGUAGGGGCGAAAUCCUAUAAUCCCGGGAGGACCACCAGUGGCGAAGGCGGCCGACUAAAACGCGCCCGACGGUGAGGGACGAAAGCUGGGGGAGCGAACGGGAUUAGAUAUGAAGUUGAGUUUUUACCAGCUUCACUAGAUACCCCGGUAGUCC